rfam:Schizophyllum commune H4-8 unplaced genomic scaffold SCHCOscaffold_5, whole genome shotgun sequence.
GCCCGCAUAACUUAGUGGUAGAGUGUUGUACUUAUGUGGAUACAUUAUGCAAAAGUCGCCAGUUCGAUCCUGGCUGUGGGCA